UACGGGGGGGCAAGCGUUGUUCGGAAUUACUGGGCGUAAAGGGCGCGUAGGCGGCUCAUACAGUCAGAUGUGAAAUCCCGAGGCUCAACCUCGGGUCUGCAGUCGAUACGAGCAAACUAGAGUGUUGCAGGGGAGACUGGAAUUCCUGGUGUAGCGGUGAAAUGCGCAGAUAUCGGGAGGAACACCGGUGGCGAAGGCGGGUCUCUGGGCAACAACUGACGCUGAGGAGCGAAAGCGUGGGGAGCGAACAGGG
rnacentral:rRNA from 1 species